UUUAGAAAUCCUCAGACCUCAUCUGCUGAGACAAUCACCAUGUUUGCUGUGAAAGCAGUUUGCUUCCUUUCCACUAUCGCUUUGCUUCUUGCAAUGGCUGCUGCGGGAGCUCCGGAUAGGUUAGUCUGCCUACCAAACCUUCCCAUUUGUAUGAACCAGUAAAGAUGAAGAGACGUCAAGGAUCCACUGAAGCCUCAUUAAAAUCCCUGUGUAGUCAAAUUUUAAUAAAGUAGUCAUGCAUACCUA